rnacentral:rRNA from 1 species
GGGUUUAGUGGCGCACGGGUGCGUAACGCGUGGGAAUCUGCCCCUUGGUUCGGAAUAACAGUUGGAAACGACUGCUAAUACCGGAUGAUGACGUAAGUCCAAAGAUUUAUCGCCGAGGGAUGAGCCCGCGUAGGAUUAGGUAGUUGGUGUGGUAAAGGCGCACCAAGCCGACGAUCCUUAGCUGGUCUGAGAGGAUGAUCAGCCACACUGGGACUGAGACACGGCCCAGACUCCUACGGGAGGCAGCAGUGGGGAAUAUUGGACAAUGGGCGAAAGCCUGAUCCAGCAAUGCCGCGUGAGUGAUGAAGGCCUUAGGGUUGUAAAGCUCUUUUACCCGGGAUGAUAAUGACAGUACCGGGAGAGUAAGCUCCGGCUAACUCCGUGCCAGCAGCCGCGGUAAUACGGAGGGAGCUAGCGUUAUUCGGAAUUACUGGGCGUAAAGCGCACGUAGGCGGCUUUGUAAGUAAGAGGUGAAAGCCCAGAGCUCAACUCUGGAAUUGCCUUUUAGACUGCAUCGCUUGAAUCAUG